UGCCAGACUCCUACGGGAGGCAGCAGUGGGGAAUAUUGCACAAUGGGGGAAACCCUGAUGCAGCAACGCCGCGUGAGUGAGGAAGUAUUUCGGUAUGUAAAGCUCUAUCAGCAGGGAAUAGAAAAGGAGGUACCUGAAAAAGAAGCCCCGGCUAACUACGUGCCAGCAGCCGCGGUAAUACGUAGGGGGCAAGCGUUAUCCGGAUUUACUGGGUGUAAAGGGAGCGUAGGCGGCGAUGCAAGUCAGAAGUGAAGGCCCGGGGCUCAACUCCGGGACUGCUUUUGAAACUGUGUUGCUAGAUUGCAGGAGAGGUAAGUGGAAUUCCUAGUGUAGCGGUGAAAUGCGUAGAUAUUAGGAGGAACACCAGUGGCGAAGGCGGCUUACUGGACUGUAAAUGACGCUGAGGCUCGAAAGCGUGGGGAGCAAACAGGAUUAGAUACCCCCGUA
rnacentral:rRNA from 1 species